rnacentral:rRNA from 1 species
AACGAACGCUGGCGGCAUGCCUAACACAUGCAAGUCGAACGAGACCUUCGGGUCUAGUGGCGCACGGGUGCGUAACGCGUGGGAAUCUGCCCUUGGGUUCGGAAUAACAGUUAGAAAUGACUGCUAAUACCGGAUAAUGUCUUCGGACCAAAGAUUUAUCGCCCAGGGAUGAGCCCCGCGUAGGAUUAGCUAGUUGGUGAGGUAAAGGCUCACCAAGGCGACGAUCCUUAGCUGGUCUGAGAGGAUGUUCAGCCACACUGGGACUGAGACACGGCCCAGACUCCUACGGGAGGCAGCAGUGGGGAAUAUUGGACAAUGGGGGGCAACCCUGAUCCAGCAAUGCCGCGUGAGUGAUGAAGGCCUUCGGGUUGUAAAGCUCUUUUGGCGGGGACGGAUGAUGACGGUACCGCAGAAUAAGCCCGGCUAACUUCGUGCCAGCAGCCGCGGUAAU